UACGGAGGGUGCGAGCGUUGUCCGGAAUCACUGGGCGUAAAGGGCGCGUAGGCGGCCGGAGAAGUCGGUGGUGAAAGCUCGGGGCCCAACUCCGAGUCGGCCACCGAUACUGUUCGGCUCGAGUUUGGUAGAGGCAGAUGGAAUUCCGGGUGUAGCGGUGGAAUGCGUAGAGAUCCGGAAGAACACCGGUGGCGAAGGCGGUCUGCUGGGCCAAGACUGACGCUGAGGCGCGACAGCGUGGGGAGCAAACAGG
rnacentral:rRNA from 1 species